rnacentral:rRNA from 1 species
GGACCCGCACAAGCGGUGGAUGAUGUGGAUUAAUUCGAUGCAACGCGAAAAACCUUACCUACCCUUGACAUGUACGGAACCCCGCAGAGAUGCGGGGGUGCUCGAAAGAGAGCCGUAACACAGGUGCUGCAUGGCUGUCGUCAGCUCGUGUCGUGAGAUGUUGGGUUAAGUCCCGCAACGAGCGCAACCCUUGUCCCUAGUUGCUACGCAAGGGCACUCUAGGGAGACUGCCGGUGACAAACCGGAGGAAGGUGGGGAUGACGUCAAGUCCUCAUGGCCCUUAUGGGUAGGGCUUCACACGUCAUACAAUGGCCGGUACAGAGGGUUGCCAAAGCGCGAGCUGGAGCCAAUCCCAGAAAGCCGGUCGUAGUCCGGAUUGCAGUCUGCAACUCGACUGCAUGAAGUCGGAAUCGCUAGUAAUCGCGGAUCAGCAUGUCGCGGUGAAUACGUUCCCGGGUCUU